rnacentral:rRNA from 1 species
AUGAACGCUGGCGGCGUGCCUAAUACAUGCAAGUCGAGCGAACAGAUGAGGAGCUUGCUCCUCUGACGUUAGCGGCGGACGGGUGAGUAACACGUGGAUAACCUACCUAUAAGACUGGGAUAACUUCGGGAAACCGGAGCUAAUACCGGAUAAUAUAUUGAACCGCAUGGUUCAAUAGUGAAAGACGGUUUUGCUGCCACUUAUAGAUGGAUCCGCGCCGCAUUAGCUAGUUGGUAAGGUAACGGCUUACCAAGGCAACGAUGCGUAGCCGACCUGAGAGGGUGAUCGGCCACACUGGAACUGAGACACGGUCCAGACUCCUACGGGAGGCAGCAGUAGGGAAUCUUCCGCAAUGGGCGAAAGCCUGACGGAGCAACGCCGCGUGAGUGAUGAAGGUCUUCGGAUCGUAAAACUCUGUUAUUAGGGAAGAACAAAUGUGUAAGUAACUAUGCACGUCUUGACGGUACCUAAUCAGAAAGCCACGGCUAACUACGUG